AUUGAACGCUGGCGGCAGGCCUAACACAUGCAAGUCGAGCGGAUGAAGGGAGCUUGCUCCUGGAUUCAGCGGCGGACGGGUGAGUAAUGCCUAGGAAUCUGCCUGGUAGUGGGGGAUAACGUCCGGAAACGGGCGCUAAUACCGCAUACAUCCUGAGGGAGAAAGUGGGGGAUCUUCGGACCUCACGCUAUCAGAUGAGCCUAGGUCGGAUUAGCUAGUUGGUGGGGUAAAGGCCUACCUAGGCGACGAUCCGUAACUGGUCUGAGAGGAUGAUCAGUCACACUGGAACGGAGACACGGUCCAGACUCCUACGGGAGGCAGCAGUGGGGAAUAUUAGACAGUGGGCGAAAGCCUGAUCCAGCCAUGCCGCGUGUGUGAAGAAGGUCUUCGGAUUGUAAAGCACUUUAAGUUGGGAGGAAGGGCAGUAAGUUAAUACCUUGCUGUUUUGACGUUACCAACAGAAUAAGCACCGGCUAACUUCGUG
rnacentral:rRNA from 1 species